AUUGAACGCUGGCGGAAUGCUUUACACAUGCAAGUCGAGCGGCAGCGCGGGGGCAACCCUGGCGGCGAGCGGCGAACGGGUGAGUAACAUAUCGGAACGUACCCCGUCGUGGGGGAUAACACAGCGAAAGCUGUGCUAAUACCGCAUACGACCUGAGGGUGAAAGCGGGGGAUCGCAAGACCUCGCGCGAUGGGAGCGGCCGAUAUCGGAUUAGCUUGUUGGUGAGGUAAAGGCUCACCAAGGCGACGAUCCGUAGCUGGUCUGAGAGGACGACCAGCCACACUGGAACUGAGACACGGUCCAGACUCCUACGGGAGGCAGCAGUGGGGAAUUUUGGACAAUGGGGGCAACCCUGAUCCAGCCAUUCCGCGUGAGUGAAGAAGGCCUUCGGGUUGGUUAAA
rnacentral:rRNA from 1 species